GAUGAACGCUGGCGGCGUGCCUAAUACAUGCAACUCGAGCGAACAGACGAGGAGCUUGCUCCUCUGACGUUAGCGGCGGACGGGUGAGUAACACGUGGAUAACCUACCUAUAAGACUGGGAUAACUUCGGGAAACCGGAGCUAAUACCGGAUAAUAUAUUGAACCGCAUGGUUCAAUUGUGAAAGACGGUUUUGCUGUCACUUAUAGAUGGAUCCGCGCCGCAUUAGCUAGUUGGUAAGGUAACGGCUUACCAAGGCGACGAUGCGUAGCCGACCUGAGAGGGUGAUCGGCCACACUGGAACUGAGACACGGUCCAGACUCCUACGGGAGGCAGCAGUAGGGAAUCUUCCGCAAUGGGCGAAAGCCUGACGGAGCAACGCCGCGUGAGUGAUGAAGGUCUUCGGAUCGUAAAACUCUGUUAUUAGGGAAGAACAAAUGUGUAAGUAACUAUGCACGUCUUGACGGUACCUAAUCAGAAAGCCACGGCUAACUACGUG
rnacentral:rRNA from 1 species